CUACUCUGUCUCUCUUCAGAUUGCAUAAAUCUUUUGCUUUUUUUUAAAGAUUUUCGUGGAGGGAAAUAACCUUGAGUAUUUGAUACAUUCCAGCUGUUUAAGUAUUUCAGCU